CACGUAGGCGGACUGGUCAGUUGGGGGUGAAAUCCCAGGGCUCAACCCUGGAACUGCCUCCAAUACUGCCAGUCUUGAGUCCGAGAGAGGUGAGUGGAAUUCCUAGUGUAGAGGUGAAAUUCGUAGAUAUUAGGAAGAACACCAGUGGCGAAGGCGGCUCACUGGCUCGGUACUGACGCUGAGGUGUGAAAGCGUGGGGAGCAAACA
rnacentral:rRNA from 1 species